UAAAAAGCUCAGUCAGGCUUAACAAUUCAGUAAUUAAUAGUUCAAACCAUGUCGCAGUUUUUCAACUAGCUUCUCGAAUUCAUUGCAGAACCGGGUUUCGGUUUUGCAAGCUAUGGUUAUUGGAGAACCGGCUCCUUGGUUGUCAAGCUGCGUGUAAAGAUGCAUUU
rnacentral:lncRNA from 1 species